AAAUAUUUAAAAUGAGAGCUGAAAUUUUUUCUAUCUUUAAAUGUGCAUUGAAGGUUAAAAUAAUCAUAAUGUGAACAAGAAUGAAGAAAAAAUCUUGGUCCCAAAAAAAACAUCAUCAACCAGGAUAUAUAAUUCAAAAUAUUAAUUUAUUAUACUAAUAUCAGUUGAAAUCUCAAGCCGCUGUUUUGCAGGUUAACAAUGUAGGUCAUGUCCCAACAAAAAAUCAAUAAAUAUGACAGUGCAAUGUACUCUUAGCACAAACACAUAAGGUCACUGUGAAAUAGACAUAUAGGGCAAGAAACAGUCAGUUAUACCAAACCAGUUUGACUAGAUGUGUCCUAUAUUUUGACAAUGUAAAUGACAUGAGGACCUGCA
rnacentral:lncRNA from 1 species